rnacentral:rRNA from 1 species
GGUCAGGACGAACGCUGGCGGCGUGCCUAACACAUGCAAGUCGAGCGAGGAGAUUCCUUCGGGAUGAUCCUAGCGGCGGACGGGUGAGUAACACGUGGGCAACCUGCCUCAUAGAGAGGAAUAGCCUUCCGAAAGGGAGAUUAAUACCUCAUAACAUUGCAGUUUCGCAUGGAACAGCAAUUAAAGGAGCAAUCCACUAUGAGAUGGGCCCGCGGCGCAUUAGCUAGUUGGUGAGGUAACGGCUCACCAAGGCGACGAUGCGUAGCCGACCUGAGAGGGUGAUCGGCCACAUUGGGACUGAGACACGGCCCAGACUCCUACGGGAGGCAGCAGUGGGGAAUAUUGCACAAUGGGGGAAACCCUGAUGCCAGCAACGCCGCGUGAGUGAUGACGGCCUUCGGGUUGUAAAGCUCUGUCUUCAGGGACGAUAAUGACGGUACCUGAGGAGGAAGCCACGGCUAACUACGUGCCAGCCGCGGC